rnacentral:lncRNA from 1 species
GAGGGCAGGCGGCGGGGCUGCAGGGGAGGGAGGGAGGGCGGGGGCCGGGGGCCGCGGAGCUGGGCGGGAGGCGGAGCGGCGGCGGCGGCGGCGGCGGCGGGAGGAGGGAGGCGGCGGGGGGGAGGGGGGGGGAGACUCUACGUGUGGAAUCGGAUCUCGGCUACAAAUUCAUCAUCACCAGAGAAAACUCCGCUCGGGCGGGGGCCUGGGGCGCCGGCGAGGGCGGGCGGCGGCGGGGGCGGCGGGCGGAGGCUCUGGGCCCCGGCGGCCUGGCGCAGGUCGGGGCUCUGUGGCCUCCCUCGGGCCGCCGCGCCGCGCCGGGGGCCUCGCCGCCGCCUCCCUGCCCCCUCCUCUCCCUGGGGCCGCCGCGGAUCGUUUCUCGCCGCCGCGGGGCUUGUUGUUGACUUUGAGGAAAACUCCUGACGUCAGGGGUUGGCGCUCGGCGACUGGCGGGAGCGGCUUCCCCGCGUCCGAGCCGGCCCGCUGCCUCUGCCCCCUCCCUCGGGCCCUCGUUCACGGGCUUCCCUGCGCCCCCAAGUCCGCGGCGGCCCGCGCCCCCUCUCCUCUCGCGAGAACACCCCCCAACCGGAGCGUGGAGCAGGGCGUCGUCCUGGGCGGGAAGUUAUGGGUUUUCCCCCGCGCCCUCGUGGCCCGUGGCAGGCACCCGAGGCCCGGGAGCGGAGGCUCGCUGCCCUCCUCCGCGCGAGGCCGGGCCUGGGGCUUCUUCUCCGGCCCGCCACGCCUCCGGGGAGGUCGGGUCGGGCUCGUGAGGGGCCGGGACCUGAGGCCCUCGAGGUGGGCGGUGCCAUGUGGAGACGCGACCCUGAGAGCUUGGAGCUGGGCCGGAACCGACCCCACCCCUCAACACCUCUGGGGUCAGUCCAAAGCCUGGCACGGUUGCUGACUCCCGGGAGACCUUACCGUCCAUUCCAAGAACACCUCUCGGAAGGCCAUCUCAGAGCUUCCUACAGGGCCAUCCUGAAUUUAGCAGACUCUGCCAAUUGUUGUAUGAUGGUACUCCACACAGAGUGUAUGCUGAUUUCUCCUCUUCAUUGUCAUCACAUUCCAAUAAUAUGGAGAGCAACAGGACAGGAAUGUCCCUCCUUGGAGAGAAAACCCUCAUUCUUUGCUAAGCCAGGCCAUUCUCUCCCUCUUGGUUCUGCCACAGAAGUAGUACAGCCGCUAAUUUCCCAGUGUCCACAGAAUACCCUCACUGAGGGAACUGACACAUUCCAAGCCCUUUACAAGAUCCCACGGAAGCCCAUGGAAGCCUUCUGGCAUGAGCUGAAGAAGCAUCUUCCAUCCCCUCCCAGUUGGAGAAGCUAUUAGAUUUACCCUGGCCAUGACCCUUCAACACUGAAGAAUUAAGUGGAACUGUUCAUCUGUCAGAACCCCAGAAAUCUC